CGCUUUUACAAGUUUUUUAAAUUAAGAAAUGUAUAAAAUCAGACGAGAAGUUAAAAAGAAAAUCGUACUUGGGACUCUGAGGUGUGCGAAUGGAAGUGGGCAUAAAUUUGUUGCUGUUGUGCUGCUCAUGAUCUUGGUCCCUUGUGCGUUGUUGAAUUAUGAUAGAAAAUUUGUGGAAGGGUGGCUAAAGCUUUUGCAAGCACUAGCAGUUAUUUGCUUAAAAUAGUUUGGUGAUCUCUAGUCUGUAUCUGAGAGUGUUGGUGAGAUAAUAAACAAAAUGACUUUUGACAUUAGUGCUUCUUCCACUAUGAUUUGUGGGUUUGACAUGUAAAGAUACCUUUAGCUGCUGGUUUCAGUAUAAAUCCUACUAGAUUGUGGAAUGUUUGUGCAUUGCAUUGCAGAAAAUGGAAACUCCAAUGAGGAAAGCUUUUAAUCUUGCGCCUGUGCAAUGGCAGCACUAGAUGAGAAUGCUCGAGUAUCCUGUCAGUGUUGCCAAGCGGCCAAGAAACUGGCCAGAACCCCAAAUGCCUUUCUGUUAUGCUGUCUAAUACAGCUAAGAGCUCCAGUGUCAAGCCAGAACCAUACCCAAACGUUGCAACCUUGCUGAUCGUUUUGUGGGUUACCAGUGUUGAGCUUACACACUGCCUUAAGGAGUGAAGACUGUAAGUUAUGAUGCCUGUGGCUGUAAGAGGUGGGAAUGAAACCGGACCAAACUAUAAACUCUUUUUUUUUUCACAAUUUUUUGAACAAAACAAUGUGGUUUUGUUACUUUUAUUGACAAAACUGAGACACUUGACUCCUUCUGGCUUACUUCUUCAUUUGCUUCCCUCAACACAACCUCAUCCUUUUCUUUAAGCUCACCACAUAAAAUCAUCGCCUUCACUGCGAUUACUGUGUCAUUUUGGUUGUGUUUUUUCUUCUACCGCCUUGUAAAUCUCCAAAGUUUUAGUCCUUGAUCACAGAGAGAAUUGGAGUUUGACGAUGAAGUUGAAAAGAGAAAUGGUUUAAUUGAUAAAGAUGCUAUUGCUCAAAGGCUUGAGGAAAUAUACAAGAGACUUGAAGCCAUUGAUGCAUAUUCUGAAGAAGCACAUGCAGCUUCCAUUCUUGCUGGACAAAAACUGAAUUCUUACAAAGGAAAUUACGAUUUAUUUGAGAGGACACAUGAUGAACAAAUUGAGAACUUUUGAGGCAAAUGAAAGAUCAAGUCCCCUUAUGCAGGCAUCUUUUGGAUGCUUCUCCUGGAAACGUUAGAGCUGGUAGAGAUGGAGAAGACCAUCCAGCUGAACUGAUUUCCUCCCAGCUGAAAAGUGCAGGUUCAUUCAUUGUGACCUUCCAAAUUUUCACAGUAUUAUUAUCUGAAACUGCAGCUUCUUGAGCCAGCUUAAAAACUAGUAAUCCAAAUCUGACCAAAUGUAGUUUGGUUUAGUUUGAGAUUUUGCUAAACCGUUUUUUAAGUUUGGUUUAAAAUUUUUCUCAAACCGUAUCAAAUUGGAUCGAAUACAUCUCUAAAAAACAUAGUUCUUCAAUUGAAAGGAAAAUGGGUUAGUUUCACAAAAGAGACAAUCUAUACGAGAUCUCUUUGAGUGAUGACAUAAACUUCUUUUCAAAUUAUGAGAGCUUAUUUAUAUGAUGAUCUUUGCUUAA